CCUGGAGAAGUUUUCCCUGGACCAGCACAAUAAUGUGUCCUUGGUGGUUCAGCCCAACCUGGUAGUCCAGUCUGUCCAAGUACCAAGUGACUCAGUAGGGAUCCAGUUUACUGCUCUGACUGGAAGUUCUGGCAAUUUUGUGGCAAACGGAAUAAAUCUGAACACAAAUACCUCUGAACUGAUAGCUGACAAAGGAGGUGCUACYGAUGUCCAGAUUGUCAUAAAAUUCCCACCAGUUUUGCAUAGUAAAAACACAAACCACUCCAUUGGUUUUGUACUCUACCAAAACGACCGGUUCUUCAGGUCCAGUGCUUUCAGUGCUUCUUCAGGGACCAGCAGAACGGUCAUCUCUGCUAACCUGGGACAGGUGUCUGGGUUACAUGUUGAGAUGCUCUUCAAGCC